AAUUGUGACUUUCCUAUCACACAGUUAUGACUAUCUCAUAAUUGCGACUUUUGUCUCACAAUUAUAACUUACCAUUGCGAUAUUUUUUGUCCUUUCAGUGUAGGAAACGGGCUUCCACAGAGCUCAUUAGGUUAUUGUGAUUAUUUUGAUCCACCCUCUCUCCGUCUCUGAAGAUCUCCAUUAGGCACAAAUUAGCAAAGGGGCAUUGUGCCACGAGCAGAAAAUCUUUAUACUAUUGAUUUUGUUGCUCGUGUUCAUUGACGAGCGAGCGAAAGGGAGGGAGAGAGAGAGCCUGCUUCCUUUGUGGGAUUCUACCGUUUGAAUGACACACUUUUGCCGGCAUUGAAUAAGAUGUUGCUCUUCCCUAUUGAUUGUGUAGCUUUACCGCUGAUCCGAGAUCUGCCUCGCACUACAUUUUGCAGCUUCAAUUCAUUUUGGAUGUGUGCUAAGAGAUAAUAAGACCUUUGGAAAUGCAAAAUGGCCCAAGUCAUCUUUUCAACAACGAUUAGUCUCACAUUAAAGACGUUGGGAGGACUUUUCAAUUUGACGACCAUUAGACGCGUUAUUGAAUAAUAGAUGAGCACCUUCUUCUUUAUCUUCCCUCAUCUGCAUGUCCUUGUCUUGUUCUCCUCCCAUCUUCACUACACUGGAGGCUUUCCAUCCUGGAUUUUUCCCCCAUCAAGCUCCCAGUCUUCAAUCCACAGGAGAAUGUGUCUGCCUGGAUCCGAGCCCGCUUCAUACUCUUGAGGGUUCAGAUAAAGUCCUUGGAAACCGCAUCCACAAAGUUGGGCGCCGACAUGAGGAUGGAGAUGGUGCAUAUGAUGUUGAAGACGCUGAACGCCACCAAGCACAGGCGGUCGAUGACGGCGCCCGCAAACUUCCACUGGUCGGCCACGCACUCCGCCUCGUCCUGCUCCCUGAAGCGGUCCGCCAAGUAGCGCACCUCCUCCAGGAUGGCCUGAAGCAGUGGGUCCCCGUGACCUGGGACUUGGCACACGCCGCCCACCCCGCCUCCAAACCCCCCACCGCUGGAGACAGUGCUGGGGCAUCCUACGGCAUCCAUGUUGGGACUAGGGGAGCUGCAUAGGUGGGGCGGCAGGUGCGGAGGCGGACUCCGGGGUCCUGUGGGGAUGUUGUUACUCCUCUGGGGGGCGUCCACGAGCACCGAGGGUUCCUCCAUCGGCUGGAAGCCCAUGUAAAGAAGGUUUCCGUUGUUGGCGCUGGAUUGGAGGUGCGGGUGCCCCGCGUGGAGGGGGGCGAGGUUCUGAGGGUGCAGCUGGUGCAGGGCGGGGUCGCCGUGGUUCGGGAUGCUACCGCUAUGGGAGCCCGAGGAACAGCGGCGUAGGUGGGGGGCGCAGGGAGGCCUCUCAGGUUUCUCUGUCUCGCCGGGGCGCUUCAUCCGCAGGAACCACGCCACCCACUGAAGCAGCACCAGCUUCACCUGUGGACACAGAACACAACGAUGGGCUCCUUUCCCCAUUUACCCAAAAUUUUGGUUCAUUUUCAUCCUUUAAUCAUCUUUAUCAUGCAUGUCUGGGUGGUUUAUUUGUUCAUAGAAUGCACACACAACGGUGAACAACUCCGUUUCUGUCUCCCCCCUUCCUCCUCAAGCAGUGUGCCCGGUGCUGAUGAGGCGUUCAAGCGCACUACGUAUUUCUGAGUGUUAGGUGACUGUCUUUUUUAUUGAGUACGGCUGUAAAAAAGUUGUAAGCACCGGUGUUUUCAUUAAAAAAAAAAAAAAAAACACUGUCGUAUUCAAGAAAAAUAAGAAUAAUCAAGAAGGUAGCGUCUGUUACAAUAGGAUUGUUAUGUAAAGGUUCCUACAGGUUGCAGGGGGAAUGAUUUAAGGGAGACACAUUACAGAAAGUGAGCUGGGCCAGUGCUGGAAAAUCUUGCGCAGGAUGAAAGGUACAAAUAAUAAUAAUAACAUCAGUGAUCAAUUAUUUUGUGAUCUUCACCACGCAGUUUCAUUUCCUGUACAGCAGAGUGAUGUUGCUGGGUGCUGCUUCCUAAUGCACACGAAGAUGUCCUCUGCAAAGGCAAAAAAGGUGGCUCAUUUAAGGUGGGCGGAUGCUGCAUCCUGCAUCACUGCACCUGCUGUGUUCACUGUUGCAG